rnacentral:pre_miRNA from 1 species
GGCACAAAUCUGAAGUAAAGUAGACUAGUGGGAUUGGCCGUCCAUACUAAUCUACUCUAUUUCAAGUUUGCGCCC